rnacentral:ncRNA from 1 species
UUAGUUAAUAGGAAAAUAGGUUGGCAAAAGCCGUGCUGUCGAGCUCUUGCCAUGAAAAGGGAAGUCCGGUGAAAAUCCGGCGCGGUCCCGCCACUGUGAAUGGGAGCUUUCUAAAUGGUUUGCCACUGUUUGCUGUUUUGCAGAUGGGAAGGCUUUAGAAAGCGAUGAUCAUGAGCCAGGAGACCUGCCUAUUUUUUCUUGCGACG